UACGAAGGGGGCGAGCGUUGUUCGGAAUUACUGGGCGUAAAGGGCGCGUAGGCGGCCGAUCAAGUCAGAUGUGAAAGUCCUGGGCUUAACCUGGGGACUGCAUUUGAUACUGAUUGGCUUGAAUGCAGGAGAGGAUAGCGGAAUUCCCAGUGUAGAGGUGAAAUUCGUAGAUAUUGGGAAGAACACCGGUGGCGAAGGCGGCGAGCUGGUCCAUUACUGACGCUGAGGCGCGACAGCGUGGGGAGCAAACAGG
rnacentral:rRNA from 1 species